rnacentral:rRNA from 1 species
UCGGGGAACAGUGACAGGUGGUGCAUGGUUGUCGUCAGCUCGUGUCGUGAGAUGUUGGGUUAAGUCCCGCAACGAGCGCAACCCUUAUUACUAGUUGCCAGCAUUUAGUUGGGCACUCUAGUGAGACUGCCGGUGACAAACCGGAGGAAGGUGGGGAUGACGUCAAAUCAUCAUGCCCCUUAUGACCUGGGCUACACACGUGCUACAAUG